rnacentral:tRNA from 1 species
GAGGCAUUAGUAAAAUUUACAUGACUUUGUCGAAGUCAAAUUAUAGGUCCAAACCCUUUAUGCCUU